GCAGUGGUGGCUCAGUGGUAGAACUCUCGCCUUCCAUGUGGGAGACCUGGGUUUGAUUCCCAGCCAGUGCA
rnacentral:tRNA from 1 species